CCACUUGACAGUUUUUGAAACCAAAAGAACGUCCUUGAGAAAAACGUAGGGCCUAUUGACUACUCAGCAUAUUAUUUUACUUGGUAUUCAAGCAUUCUAAUGAAAGAAUUGGGAAUAAUGAAAGACAGUAGGGCGUAGAGCCACUUUAACUGACACCGUGAGGUCGGUCAAAGCUAUUGAACAGUUUCUAUUAAAUUAGUUUGGCUUCAUCUAGGCUAGUUAAAGCUGACAUGCUGACAGAUUAGUUUCUGUCUGUUUAGAAAAAGAGUAAAGAAGAGCAUAUUUACAUUUGGAGGCUUAGUGGCAGUCACUUUACAAGGUCAACAAGAAUAUCUCCAUCGCAGAACUGUUUGUCUCCCUGUCGAUACAUUGGCUGAUCAGCUUCAAAGUAUUUAGCCCUUCUCUAGGACACAAUUGGAGAAACUGAUUAUCUUUCAAAGGCUUUGACUGGAAUGGCAUGCUUUCCUUUAAGGAAUUAAACUUGACUUACAAAGCCAAUAAAAGCCCCUUGGGAAAACCGGCCUCAUAUUGUCUCCACAGUCUCUGUACAGGGUAACCUGACCUAUGGGCAUCAAGCUCCAGAUGAUACUCAGUGAGGAAUACUGUCCUCUCAAUAUUCAAGAGACAUCCUUCUAUAGGGAAUCCCUGGACUGCCUAUUGGUGAGAUAGGACAGAGGUGAAAUCCUACCCUUUUCUUCCUUGGACCUGGCUGGAUACCAUUUUCACCAACCCAAAGAGCCACCCUCCUGCCUUGACAGCUAGCAAGAGGCCAAGACCCACAGAACCACCACCAUUGCUUCUCUGUCAGCAGGGAGUAGUUACAGAACACUGGCCUUCAUU